GGAGCCGUAGCGAAAGCGAGUUUUAACUGAGCGUUCAGUUACUUGACGUAGACCCGAAACCGGGCGACCUACCCAUGAGCAGGAUGAAGCGAAAGUAAAAUUUCGUGGAGGUCCGAACCCACGAGCGUUGAAAAGCUCGGGGAUGACUUGUGGGUAGCGGUGAAAUUCCAAUCGAGCCCGGAGAUAGCUGGUUCUCCCCGAAAUAGCUUUAGGGCUAGCCUCAAGGUGAGAGAUACGGAGGUAGAGCACUGAAUGUCCUAGGGGGUAUUGCACCUACCGAAGACUAUCAAACUCCGAAUGCCGUCAUCUUAUACUUGGGAGUCAGACUGUGGGUGAUAAGAUUCAUAGUCGAAAGGGCAACAGCCCAGAUCGUCAGCUAAGGUCCCUAAAUGUAAGUUAAGUGGUAAAGGAUGUGGGAUUGCACAGACAACCAGGAUGUUGGCUUAGAAGCAGCCACUCAUUCAAAGAGUGCGUAAUAGCUCACUUGUCGAGUAAUCAUGAGCCGAAGAUUUCCGGGGCUAAAACUUACUACCGAAGCUACGGCAUCAGUAAUGAUGGGUAGGGGAGCUUCCCAUACGGGUUGAAGCAUGACCGUAAGGACAUGUGGACAGUAUGGGAGGGAGAAUGUUGGCAUGAGUAGCGAGAUGUGGGUGGGAAUCCCACAGGCCGUAAACCCAAGGUUUCCAGGGGAAGGUUCGUCCACCCUGGGUUAGUCGGGACCUAAGCUGAGGCCGAAAGGCGUAGGUGAUGGACAACAGGUUGAUAUUCCUGUACUACCGAUAACCGUUUGAGAGAAGGGAUGACACAGUAGGAUAAGCUAAGCACACUGUUGGUUAUGUGUGCCCAAGCAUUGAGGCAGUCAAAGUAGGCAAAUCCGCUUUGAUAAUGCUGGGAUGUGAUGGGGAGCGAAAUUUAGUAGCGAAGUAGCUGAUUUCACACUGUCAAGAAAAGUCUCUAUCGAGGUUAAAGGUACCCGUACCGCAAACCGACACAGGUG
rnacentral:rRNA from 1 species